AGUUGAGUCACUACUUAGAGGACAACUGUCCAGAGAGCCACUCAACCAGAUAUAUCCUUGCUGGACUCAGUGAAUGAACUGUUCAAGUGCUCAGGUGAGUUUUUACGUUGAGUCACUGAAAUAUUGGGGGUUUUUGUCAUAGCAACUAGGAUUAAGGGAAGUAAUAUUUAGUAUUGUGACCUAAUACUUGGUACUAGGUAAAUUGGUAUGUACCAUCCUAAUAUAUCAAGUCCAUAGACUAGAAAGUGGAGAAAGAUGUAUGUUGAGAAAUGGGUGAAUCGGAGACAGAAUAUGAAUAUAUUUUUACACUGCUAAGGCGUUUGUUCAUUUUGUUUUAAGCAAUGAAGGGCCAACAACCAUUUUUCAUCGGGAGAGUGACAAGAUGAACCAUGACUGUCAAAUCCUUUUUUUUCCGUCUCACUCUCUCUCCCUGAAAUUUGCUACCUAACAUCACACUGCGAUCACUGUUGGUGGUUAGUAAAUAACUGUUUAAAGCAAAGCAGGAGGGAGCCAUGUGGAAUGGUGUUAUCAGCAUCUUUAGAGUUCUGUUGUUCUUAGUAGUUGCACGAUUUUCAUUCUUUAUUAAUUGCAUCUAUUGCUUUGUGUUAUGGUAUCAGAAUUUCCUACCUGAAUUUAGUUUAAUGUCUGUAGCUUUGCUUUGCUCCCUUUUAACCCUCUUCAAGGGAUGCACCAGUUCUCUGCUCACCUUUGAAGGACUCCCUGAAAUAGCUCCAGACUGUGAAAUGCAUCUUUAUUGAUUUCUGUAGAAUUCAAUCAUCAGAAAGCCAGCCUAGUCCUCAUGUGAAGUUUGCAUGUUCUCAUCUCCCUUCCAUAAGAAGGAACACAUCAUCUUGUAAGGACGGCAUUAAAAUUUAAGGCUCAGAGAAGGUCUGUGAAGUGCCAGAAAUCUUUGCAUUCUCUUUCUUCUUUCCUUUACUGCAGGUUUCUGUGCCUAAUUCAUCACAUUCCAUGAGAAAUCAGACACAAGUAACAAAGGGUCAGUCAAAAACUACAUGGAAAUCUGGCGAUUGAAGAUAACAUUAACCAAAUGGUUGACAUUAGAUGUUGCACUCAACGGAGCCAGACGCUCUCUGAUAGGGUUUGAGCCAAGUUUGAAGCCUCUAUUUAAAUUGUGGUGUGAACAUUUUAGUUUCUGACCCAGUCUGUGUUUGUGAUUUAAAGGAAUUUCUAGAUGUUCUAUUGUAUAAGAGUGAACAGAGAAAGCAAGGACCGGCCAGCCAGGAAAAUCCUCACCUAGGGCAAGAUUAUCCCAUGAAAUCAAGUUUAAAGGGACAGUGAGAGCCAGAAGACAGUUGUAGGGUGAUCACAGUCCACGUGUCUCCAUUCAAGUCACAAGGGGAACCGGGAGGGAAUCUCAUGUCGUGCCUGUGCUUCUUGAACUGCCUUUUAUGAAGUCCAUACUGUUCUCUGUAUUAUAUAAAAAGGGAAACCAAGGAAAGAGACUUGAGUCUGCAUUAGGACUAGAGCUUGGAAAAGAAGGCAGAGGAUAGAUCGCGGUGCUCCUGAGGGACAGGGUCGUGGUUUCAGCCACAGUGGGAAUGAAAGAGUCCCGAGAGGAAGAGGCGUUCAGGCCCCAUGUUUCCACAUGGACAUGCUCCUCCUGCUCGUGGAACAAACCAGGACCUCUCGCAUUCGCUCUCACAGUAGAGAAUUCGAUUACCACCCGUAUCAAAUGUUCCCGGGAGGCACUAGGAGCCAGACAGAAGGCACUGAAGUCGAAUCAGCUGAAGGUAAUGUUUAGAUGGAGCUUUACUUUGGGUGACUGUGCACGGAAAACUUUUAAUGUGGCUACAUAUCAUCAUCGGAGAUUUACUCUAUCCUGUAAGUUUGGCUGGGAAAGCAGGUUGGAAAUACAUAAGCACCAUUAAAUCUAGCCAAGUGGAAAACAUCGCUAAAGGGCAGGUUGACUUCAAAAGUCUCUGCUUAGGAUGGGAAAAUUACCAUGUGCUUGUGGUUUGUUUUCCUUUAAAGGGUGUCCUCCUCCGCUCCUCGCCCGGAGCUAAUACCUGAAACAGUGUCAACCGAACAGCCACAGCUGGGACACGGUGCAACUUCGGUUGGAAGACAGGUCACUGGCAUUGACUGGAGACUUCGUGACAAUGCCUCUUUUCGCUGAUGAGCAGCGUGUGGUCACCCUCCUUCCUGGGGGCUGCCCUUCAGGCUUCCAGGGGGGCAGCAGGCCUGGAGCGGCGCACUGCCCCAGAAUUUUGUGCCUCCUCUCGGAAGCCUCUACUCCGUGAGGUGAACACCUGUUUCUACUUGUCUCUGCUGUGUUCUGGGCCACUCUGUGGAGGUCAUCUUUCACAAGGUUCUGUGAACUUGAAAGGACACUGAGAUUAGAAUCCAAUAGACUUGGUUCAAAUUUUGAUCCUGCUACUGGGUCUGUGGCCUGGGCAUGUGGCUUAAUGGUGCUGAUUCUCUGCACGGCCAUCUCUAAAAUGCUGAAGGCUUGUUCUGAGAAUUAAAUGAAGCUAUGUAUGUGGAAACCUUUUGUACAAUGCUUUGGACACAGCAGGCCCUUGAUAAAUGAUAGUUUAUGUCUGUGUCUAUUUUUAUAAUAAAACA
rnacentral:lncRNA from 1 species